rnacentral:rRNA from 1 species
UGAGGAAUAUUGGACAAUGGAUGGAAAUCUGAUCCAGCCAUGCCGCGUGCAGGAAGACGGCCCUAUGGGUUGUAAACUGCUUUUGUACAGGAAGAAACACUGGUUCGUGAACCAGCUUGACGGUACUGUAAGAAUAAGGAUCGGCUAACUCCGUGCCAGCAGCCGCGGUAAUACGGAGGAUCCAAGCGUUAUCCGGAAUCAUUGGGUUUAAAGGGUCCGUAGGCGGUUUAGUAAGUCAGUGGUGAAAGCCCAUCGCUCAACGGUGGAACGGCCAUUGAUACUGCUAGACUUGAAUUAUUAGGAAGUAACUAGAAUAUGUAGUGUAGCGGUGAAAUGCUUAGAGAUUACAUGGAAUACCAAUUGCGAAGGCAGGUUACUACUAAUGGAUUGACGCUGAUGGACGAAAGCGUGGGUAGCGAACA